AAUCUCUAUCAUCUAAAUUGAUGUCUGCAUGCCUGUCUAUUCAUAUCCUUAUCAGAUCUACAGCAGUAUCUAUAGAUACAUCCAUAUUUAUAUCCCAAUCCAUAGCCAUCCCUACACCUACACCUGCAACACCCCGAUCAGCAAACUGGCCCCGGAUGUCCCAUCAGCAGUGCCAACCCCAGGACCCUCCCCUACAGUGGGGAGGACGCUGCCCAGCACAGAGCCCGGAUGCCCCCCUAUAAAGGGGACACUCAGGCCAGAAGCUUGAACCAGAAUGCAGCCUGGCACCUGGCCUCCUUUUGCUGGCCGCCCCUUCUUCAAACACCUCAGAGGGGGUCCUGUCUUCCUGCUAACAUAACCCCUGGCCUCCCAGCCCCUCAUCAGGGCAAUUACCAGUCAGAAUCCACCCAGGUGAGAAUCAUCCUGGUCUCCUCCCGCACCGUCUAGUGGCCCAAAGUAGCAGUGCUCACCGUGUGUUCAUGGAGCACAGGGCUGGGUGCAGAGGGGUGUCCACACCUGGACCCCCGCCUGCCCACCCGUCAGGACCCAGGGACUCCCCAGCUCUGCCCUCCCACUGCGACUGUCAGCACCUGUGUCCCCCACGCAGCCUUAGCUGUCCCUCGUGGGUGCUGGACACCUACCCCACUUCUGGACGUGCCCUCACCUCAGGAUGCCCAUUGCACGUAGUGGGCAUGUUGCGAUGGGGGUGUCCCCCUGCAUAUUCUUUGUCUCCUGGCCUCAUGUGCAGGUGCCCUUUUCUCCCCACCCAUUAGUUACCAUGGCAAUGGCUUCUGCCCCUUCUCCAAGAAAUGAUCCCUCGGGGAGCUCACUUCCGUUCCCCUGCUCCAUGAUGCAAAAUCCUCCAGGAGGAUAACCCCACAUCUCCCCGAAUGCUCCCAGGUGACACCAACAUGGAGACCUGCCUGUCUCGCCAUUGCCCUCUCCCGGCUGCCUACUCGGUGACACCCCGGCCUGUGCCUCCCCAACUCUCAUGCCAAGUUAGGGGUCUCGGAUGGACCCCAGCCCUAACCUCAACCCUUACACAGCCAGCUUCCUGGUGUCAGGGAUUCGGAGAACAAAGUUGGAUGCUUGUGGCUGGAUGCCAGACUCAUUUCUCUGCUCUCAGGAAGCGGUUGUGCGCCCUCCUCCGCCUCCCCCAAACCUGGCCUCUUCUCUCUUGGGGUGACGUCCACCCUCUUCUUCCCUCCCUUGUCGGCUCCUCCAAGCUGGCUUCUGCCUAAUGCUGCACAACCCUUGACUUGAGCCACAGCAGGAGGCCCGGCCCUCAAUCCCUCCUCCCGGCCCCUGUGGCCCGAAGUUGCCAUCUAGCUGUGUUGGCAAGCCACCUGGUUUGCCCCUCCAGUGUGUGUGGGGGGGUCCCCUCCAGCUCUUGGGCUCCCAGCUGGGUUUGGUUUGGAAAGAGAAAGGGAGGGAGAGGGCCAUGGGGGUGCUUCUCCCCUGCCCCUCCCUGGGUGGACACCCUGCGUCAUCCUUUCCAGGGAAGGACCUCCCCCCAGGUGCUCAUCCAUUGGGCCCUCUGGGCCCCCUACCCAGCCCCAGGGUCAGAGGGCAGCAG
ensembl:lncRNA